rnacentral:rRNA from 1 species
UACGAAGGGGGCUAGCGUUGCUCGGAAUCACUGGGCGUAAAGGGUGCGUAGGCGGGUCUUUAAGUCAGGGGUGAAAUCCUGGAGCUCAACUCCAGAACUGCCUUUGAUACUGAGGAUCUUGAGUUCGGGAGAGGUGAGUGGAACUGCGAGUGUAGAGGUGAAAUUCGUAGAUAUUCGCAAGAACACCAGUGGCGAAGGCGGCUCACUGGCCCGAUACUGACGCUGAGGCAGGAAAGCGUGGGGAGCAAACAGG